rnacentral:rRNA from 1 species
ACGUCAAAUCAUCAUGCCCCUUAUGUCCUGGGCUACACACGUACUACAAUGGCUACAACAAAGGGAAGCGAAGCCGUAAGGCGGAGCAAAUCCCCAAAAGUAGUCCCAGUUCGGAUUGUGGGCUGCAACCCGCCCACAUGAAGUCGGAAUUGCUAGUAAUGGCAGGUCAGCAUACUGCCGUGAAUACGUUCCCGGGCCUU